AUGGAGGGGCUGUUGAAUGAUUGGCUGUGGCAUCAGGACUACUGGUUCCCCCCCUGGCAUUGGCUGGAAGGACAUGGAGGUGGGGGUGGAGGUGGGCCAGGGGAGGGCUCGCUACCCGAUGCCCAGAGACCUCCUGGUCACCCUGCCUCUGGCCCUCUGCUUCAUCGCCCUCCGGUGCGUGUUCGAGAGGAUCAUAGCACUCCCUCUAAGCACACGUUUGGGUGUGAAGGACCGGAUCUGGACUGAAGCCCCGUCGAUCCCCAGACUGGAGGCCUUCUGCAAGCAGAACAACCCACAGCCUUCCCAGAGUGAGCUGGUGGGUCUGGCCAGGCAGUAUGGACUCUCUCAGCGACAGAUCCAGACCUGGUUCAGACACCGACGGAACCAACAGCGCCCCAGCAACACCAGGAAGUUCUGCGAGGCCUCUUGGAGAUUUGUCUUCUACCUUGUAGCGUUCACUGCAGGCCUAGCCUCUCUGAUAGAUACAAAAUGGUUCUGGGACACCAGAGAGUGCUGGAACGGCUACCCCAAACAGCCGGUGGCAGAAGCUCACUACUGGUAUUACAUCAUGGAGCUGGGAUUCUACUUGUCCCUCCUGCUGUGCGUGUCUGUGGAUGUGAAGCGAAAGGAUUUCAAGGAGCAGAUUGUUCAUCACAUCGCUACCAUAUUCCUCAUCGGCUUCUCCUACUGCGCCAACUUCCUGAGAGUGGGAACUCUGGUGAUGCUGCUGCACGACUCCUCAGACUUCUUCCUCGAGUCUGCAAAGAUGUUCAACUACGCUGGCUGGAGAAAGGCAUGCGACAUACUGUUUGUCCUCUUCUCUGUCGUCUUCCUGGUGACUAGACUGGUCAUAUUCCCUGGCAGGAUGAUCUUCUCCACCAUGGUAGAAUCUCUGGACUACUUCGACCCGUUCCCUGGGUACUUCUUCCUCAACGCCCUGCUGCUGGUGCUCCAGGCUCUCCACAUCUUCUGGGCCUACCUCAUCCUGCGGAUGGUCCACAAGUUUGUCUUCCAGGGCAAGGUGGAGAAAGACGAGCGCAGCGACGAAGAGAGCGGGGAUGACGAUGAGGAGGACGACGAAGAGGAGUGGCCCGAGGAGGGAGAGGAUGAAGGCUGCUGGGGGAGGAGCGAGGGAAAGGGUGCGAUGAACUCCAAAUCGGCGUCCCUGGCCGACCACUGUGUUCUGAACAAUCUGACCCACCGGAGGAGCUCCAACAGCCCCUGGCCCAAAGCGAGGUAGUGAACCUACCCCUCCACCCCCCACCCCCACUCCGACGUCUCCCCCCACUGCUCCGUCCCCUCAACCCCAACCUUCAGCUUCCACCACCAUCUGUUCAGCAUCAUCAGAUAAUAGGUGUGUCACUGUUUCACCCCACACACACACACACACAGACACUCAGUCACACACACACACACACACACACACACAGAGAGAAGGUCUUGUCACUGGGGAUACUAGACGCUGGUGUCGUUUUCAUUCAUAACCACUAAAGAAAAUUCUCCUGGGUUUUAUUUGCAUGGCUGUGUACAGUUUGUGGUUUAGUAGCUGACUCUAUGACCUCUGUCUUCUACCUUCACUGCGGUUGAUUUUUGAUGUGAAAAAAAAGACAUGACUAGUAGAAGUAGUAGUAGAAGUAGUAGUAGUAGUAUUAUUAGUAGUAGGUAUUUCAUACUAGUUAGGAUCCUCAGAAACAACACUUAUUUAAUCUGCUGGCAUUGAAACACAGAUUGUUUGUGUGUUUUAGUUGUGGUGUAUAAGGUGUGUGUAUAAGGUAGUUGUACAAUCAUCAAUACAUUAAUGGAGGUGAGCUAUUUAAACCUUGAUAUAGUACGGACCUAUCCAGACAAAACUCUGAGGGGGAAUCUUCAGUAAUGGCGAUGAUAAUUGCACCAGAGAUCCUCUAGAGGCUUGUAUGUUUUCUACUACGGACAUUGUCAGAGUCGCACAGACACAACUAUUAAACAAAAUAUUACGCUCAUCCAAUAAAAUAUAUAAAUGCUGCGGACACAUCUGAAAUCCUCUUCUCUGAUCUAUUAUCAAGUCCAGCCCAGAUGAUUACUCAUCUUCAUCCAUGUACUUAACUUCUACAAUAGAUCUAUUCAUUCAGUUCAAUGUUACGCUGGUUUGUAAACUGCCAACUGAAGAAAAAUGGAUUGUCAUAACGUAUUUGAUAAACUACUGUGUAGCCUCUCUUUUUUCCAUCUUAUCGGCUGAACCGAUCAUAAUCAAUCAAUCAAUAACCGCUCUAUAAUUAGCAUUAUCGUUGUAUAUAGAAUUGCUGCCUAAGAAUUUGCUAAUGAAUUAUCUGAUGAACAGAAAAGCGUUUAGGUUGGUUCAGAGUAGAGGGUUCACUCUAGUUAGAUUCUCUCUAAAUGGCCCUGGGUUGGUUGAGUUUCAUUUGAGUACCUUUGGCGCCCCCUAGUGCAUCAGCUUCUCCUGAAUUGGUGUUCCAAUUAACUGAUAUGCCUUUUAAGAAGUGAUUUAAAGUCGGGACUUCUAAAAUAUGUAAUGGUAUUUCCUGUUGAUUCUCUGGUUGGUUCUCGCUGCAAGUUUGAAUUCAGUUAUUCUUGCUCAAGGACUUAGUUUUGUGCCUUGACUCCUGUUUUGACACUGUUUUGUCCCAGCGCCUUGUUCUUUAGCUCUUUGUGCUAAUAGAUAGCUUUACUUUAUAAGCAGAAAGACAAGGAUUUGCUGGUCUGUGUGAGAUUCUGAAGCCAGACAGUGCCUUGAUAAGCUUUGCAUUAAAGUACCCUUUGUGGAAAUGUGAAAACAUUUUGCUUACAACUUUACUGGAGUAUAUUUUUAGAGAUGCAGUGUGUGUGUGUGUGUGUGUGUGUGUGUGUGUGUGUGUGUGUGUGUGUGUGUGUGUGUGUGUGUGUGUGUGUGUGUGUGUGUGUGUGUGAGAGAGAGAGCGGGUGUAUCGAAGGAAAGGAAGGGCUCUCUUAUAUAUGAAGAUAUUAAAUCAAUUUUAAGAAAGAAACCUUUCAGAUGAUUAAACUGGAUUCUGCCACAAUCCCUGGAAUCUAGUUGUCCUUUCCACUCCAAUACAGAGAGGUAUUUGUCUACAAAAUAACCCCUCUCCUUUGAAACAUGAAUGAGGUAGAAUUCUAAGCUUGAAGACAACAUUACUAUGUUGUUGAUAGGCUUCCAACCACUCAGCAUUUAUGUCAAUCCCCACAGUAUGUAUCACAAUUGUAUAAAUCCUUUCUUUAAUGUGUCAGGCAAUGUAUUUUUCUUGGUUUGUUUGUCUGAAUGAGGAAACAAAAGGGCUCAUCAAUUCCCUGUAAUGUCUGAAGACUGAUUAGGCAACCUUUAUUUAAUAAGGGAAAUAACUACAAGUUUAUGAUGCUUUUACACGAGGGAUGCCAAUAAGUAACAGUUAUUUUUUUUCACAAAUGCACAUAUGUCAAAGUUUGCUCUGUCUCUUCAUCGUUGUUAAUAAAGAGAAGUUAUGAAGGUAAGUACUUCAACUGUGCUAGAAAAAGCCUACCAUCCUGAAUGCUUACUGUUAUUUCUCUCCCUCUUAAAAUAAAGAUGUUUUUUUUUUAAA